rnacentral:lncRNA from 10 species
UCUUGAUUGUCAGAGGAAGAAGACUUAAUAUGUCAAUACCACUAAAUUGAAAUGGCAGUGUCUGUCUUUUCAUGUUCAUAUCAGCUUCAGUGUCAUUCCAUCGGUGUUGUUUCAGAAACUUCUUCCUCUGUUUUCCUGACAUAUCACAUGUUCAGGUUACUAUCUUUAGGGUAUGAGAAUAGUUUUAGUGGCAAGGAUAAAAAUGAUUUCAAGAAUACUACCCAAAAUAAAACCUGGUAUUUGGGCAUACACAGUUGUCUUCCCUGUUUUCCCUGUACUUUCUCCUUCCCCCGUCUCCUUUGUCUCCUUACCCCUCCUUUCCCUCUAUCUCAGAUGUAUGCACACACACACACACACACACACACACACACACACACACACGAGAGAGAAUUAUGUAUGCCUUGCAGUGCAUGACUUCUGUUAAACUGUGUGUAUCCAAACCUGUGUGCAUCUUAAACCGGCAGUCUCUGAACUGGGCAACAUACAUCCUUUACCCUUAACCUUGAGAGGAACAUAAAGGCUUUCCCGGGGGGGUUAUAUAGUUAAGGAUAGUUUAAGAGUAUUAAUUCUCAGGUUGUCAACUUGCAUGUAUUCAUUCCUAAGAUUGAUCUUCCUCAGAGUGUACUGAACUAGACAUCUUUUUGCUUUCCUCUUUAGCAGUUGUCCCUCUCUCACUGACAAAUAUGGGGAUACCUUAUCUGACCUAAAUCUUGAUAGUGGUGUUUAGAAAGUAAAUGACUGUGAUGAAUGAGUAGUUAACUCUUUGGCAAAAUUGGUGAGUUACAGUUGCUUUAGAAAAUAAUUGCAGAAGGACCAAAUUGACUUAUCAGUUGAUCAUUAAAAAUAAUUUUUGAAGCAUACCCAUGUGUGAUUUUUGGUAUAUAACUUAUGAGUUCACACAAAUGAUUAUUGCUAUAACCAGAAAUCGUUACACUUGCAAAUGUUUGGAAUGGAAG